GCUGGCGGCGUGCCUAAUACAUGCAAGUCGCAGCGAAUGGAUUGAGAGCUUGCUCUCAAGAAGUUAGCGGCGGACGGGUGAGUAACACGUGGGUAACCUGCCCAUAAGACUGGGAUAACUCCGGGAAACCGGGGCUAAUACCGGAUAACAUUUUGAACUGCAUGGUUCGAAAUUGAAAGGCGGCUUCGGCUGUCACUUAUGGAUGGACCCGCGUCGCAUUAGCUAGUUGGUGAGGUAACGGCUCACCAAGGCAACGAUGCGUAGCCGACCUGAGAGGGUGAUCGGCCACACUGGGACUGAGACACGGCCCAGACUCCUACGGGAGGCAGCAGUAGGGAAUCUUCCGCAAUGGACGAAAGUCUGACGGAGCAACGCCGCGUGAGUGAUGAAGGCUUUCGGGUCGUAAAACUCUGUUGUUAGGGAAGAACAAGUGCUAGUUGAAUAAGCUGGCACCUUGACGGUACCUAACCAGAAAGCCACGGCUAACUACGUGCCAGCAGCCGCGGUAAUACGUAGGUGGCAAGCGUUAUCCGGAAUUAUUGGGGCGUAAAGCGCGCGCAGGGGGUCCUAAGUCGGAAUGAAAAGCCACGGGUCACACCGC
rnacentral:rRNA from 1 species